GAAACCCGGUGAUCUAGCCAUGGGCAGGUUGAAGGUUGGGUAACACUAACUGGAGGACCGAACCGACUAAUGUUGAAAAAUUAGCGGAUGACUUGUGGCUGGGGGUGAAAGGCCAAUCAAACCGGGAGAUAGCUGGUUCUCCCCGAAAGCUAUUUAGGUAGCGCCUCGUGAAUUCAUCUCCGGGGGUAGAGCACUGUUUCGGCAAGGGGGUCAUCCCGACUUACCAACCCGAUGCAAACUGCGAAUACCGGAGAAUGUUAUCACGGGAGACACACGGCGGGUGCUAACGUCCGUCGUGAAGAGGGAAACAACCCAGACCGCCAGCUAAGGUCCCAAAGUCAUGGUUAAGUGGGAAACGAUGUGGGAAGGCCCAGACAGCCAGGAUGUUGGCUUAGAAGCAGCCAUCAUUUAAAGAAAGCGUAAUAGCUCACUGGUCGAGUCGGCCUGCGCGGAAGAUGUAACGGGGCUAAACCAUGCACCGAAGCUGCGGCAGCGACACUAUGUGUUGUUGGGUAGGGGAGCGUUCUGUAAGCCUGUGAAGGUGGCCUGUGAGGGUUGCUGGAGGUAUCAGAAGUGCGAAUGCUGACAUAAGUAACGAUAAAGCGGGUGAAAAGCCCGCUCGCCGGAAGACCAAGGGUUCCUGUCCAACGUUAAUCGGGGCAGGGUGAGUCGACCCCUAAGGCGAGGCCGAAAGGCGUAGUCGAUGGGAAACAGGUUAAUAUUCCUGUACUUGGUGUUACUGCGAAGGGGGGACGGAGAAGGCUAUGUUGGCCGGGCGACGGUUGUCCCGGUUUAAGCGUGUAGGCUGGUUUUCCAGGCAAAUCCGGAAAACCAAGGCUGAGGCGUGAUGACGAGGCACUACGGUGCUGAAGCGACAAAUGCCCUGCUUCCAGGAAAAGCCUCUAAGCAUCAGGUAACAUCAAAUCGUACCCCAAACCGACACAGGUGGUCAGGUAGAGAAUACCAAGGCGCUUGAGAGAACUCGGGUGAAGGAACUAGGCAAAAUGGUGCCGUAACUUCGGGAGAAGGCACGCUGAUAUGUAGGUGAAGCGACUUGCUCGUGGAGCUGAAAUCAGUCGAAGAUACCAGCUGGCUGCAACUGUUUAUUAAAAACACAGCACUGUGCAAACACGAAAGUGGACGUAUACGGUGUGACGCCUGCCCGGUGCCGGAAGGUUAAUUGAUGGGGUUAGCGGUAACGCGAAGCUCUUGAUCGAAGCCCCGGUAAACGGCGGCCGUAACUAUAACGGUCCUAAGGUAGCGAAAUUCCUUGUCGGGUAAGUUCCGACCUGCACGAAUGGCGUAAUGAUGGCCAGGCUGUCUCCACCCGAGACUCAGUGAAAUUGAACUCGCUGUGAAGAUGCAGUGUACCCGCGGCAAGACGGAAAGACCCCGUGAACCUUUACUAUAGCUUGACACUGAACAUUGAGCCUUGAUGUGUAGGAUAGGUGGGAGGCUUUGAAGUGUGGACGCCAGUCUGCAUGGAGCCGACCUUGAAAUACCACCCUUUAAUGUUUGAUGUUCUAACGUUGGCCCCUAAUCGGGGUUGCGGACAGUGUCUGGUGGGUAGUUUGACUGGGGCGGUCUCCUCCUAAAGAGUAACGGAGGAGCACGAAGGUUGGCUAAUCCUGGUCGGACAUCAGGAGGUUAGUGCAAUGGCAUAAGCCAGCUUGACUGCGAGCGUGACGGCGCGAGCAGGUGCGAAAGCAGGUCAUAGUGAUCCGGUGGUUCUGAAUGGAAGGGCCAUCGCUCAACGGAUAAAAGGUACUCCGGGGAUAACAGGCUGAUACCGCCCAAGAGUUCAUAUCGACGGCGGUGUUUGGCACCUCGAUGUCGGCUCAUCACAUCCUGGGGCUGAAGUAGGUCCCAAGGGUAUGGCUGUUCGCCAUUUAAAGUGGUACGCGAGCUGGGUUUAGAACGUCGUGAGACAGUUCGGUCCCUAUCUGCCGUGGGCGCUGGAGAACUGAGGGGGGCUGCUCCUAGUACGAGAGGACCGGAGUGGACGCAUCACUGGUGUUCGGGUUGUCAUGCCAAUGGCACUGCCCGGUAGCUAAAUGCGGAAGAGAUAAGUGCUGAAAGCAUCUAAGCACGAAACUUGCCCCGAGAUGAGUUCUCCCUGAGACUUAGAGUCUCCUGAAGGAACGUUGAAGACGACGACGUUGAU
rnacentral:rRNA from 1 species